rnacentral:rRNA from 1 species
UAGUUGGUUAAUUAAAAGUAAGUUCUGCCCUAUGAUAAUUUAAAUGGCUGCAGUAUAUUGACUGUGCAAAGGUAGCAUAAUAAUUAGUCUUUUAAUUGGAGGCUUGUAUGAAUGAAUACAUGAGAUGUUUAUUUUAUUAUUUUUAUAAUUACAAUUUAAUUUUUAAGUAAAAAAGCUUAAUUAGGUUUUAGGGACGAGAAGACCCUAUAGAAUUUUAAUAUUUUAAUUAAGGUUUUUUUUAGGUUAAUAUUUAAUUUUUUUAAUUUUAAUAUUUUUGUUGGGGUGACAAAUAAAUGUAAGCUUUAUUUUUUAAGUUCAUGCUUAAUGUGUUUUUGAUCCAUUUAUUAUGAUUAUAAGAUUAAAUUACCUUAGGGAUAACAGCGUAAUUUUUAUGGGGAGUUCAUAUUUAUAUAGAAGUUUGCGACCUCGAUGUUGAAUUAAGAUAAGAUUUUGGAGCAG